AGAGUUUGAUCCUGGCUCAGGAUGAACGCUAGCGACAGGCCUAACACAUGCAAGUCGAGGGGCAGCGGAGAGGUAGCAAUACCUUUGCCGGCGACCGGCGCACGGGUGAGUAACACGUAUGCAAUCCACCUGUAACAGGGGGAUAACCCGGAGAAAUCCGGACUAAUACCCCAUAAUAUGGGUUCUCCGCAUGGAGGGUCCAUUAAAGAGAGCAAUUUUGGUUACAGACGAGCAUGCGCUCCAUUAGCCAGUUGGCGGGGUAACGGCCCACCAAAGCGACGAUGGAUAGGGGUUCUGAGAGGAAGGUCCCCCACAUUGGAACUGAGACACGGUCCAAACUCCUACGGGAGGCAGCAGUGAGGAAUAUUGGUCAAUGGGCGAGAGCCUGAACCAGCCAAGUAGCGUGAAGGAUGACUGCCCUAUGGGUUGUAAACUUCUUUUAUACGGGAAUAAAGUGGAGUAUGCAUACUCCUUUGUAUGUACCGUAUGAAUAAGGAUCGGCUAACUCCGUGCCAGCAGCCGCGGUAAUACGGAGGAUCCGAGCGUUAUCCGGAUUUAUUGGGUUUAAAGGGUGCGUAGGCGGCCUUUUAAGUCAGCGGUGAAAGUCUGUGGCUCAACCAUAGAAUUGCCGUUGAAACUGGGGGGCUUGAGUAUGUUUGAGGCAGGCGGAAUGCGUGGUGUAGCGGUGAAAUGCAUAGAUAUCACGCAGAACCCCGAUUGCGAAGGCAGCCUGCUAGGGUGCGACAGACGCUGAGGCACGAAAGCGUGGGUAUCGAACAGGAUUAGAUACCCUGGUAGUCCACGCAGUAAACGAUGAAUACUAACUGUUUGCGAUACAAUGUAAGCGGUACAGCGAAAGCGUUAAGUAUUCCACCUGGGGAGUACGCCGGCAACGGUGAAACUCAAAGGAAUUGACGGGGGCCC
rnacentral:rRNA from 1 species